UACGGUUACACCACAUUAAAACAAAGGUUCCCUUACGAUCACCGAAGUUAAGCAACGUCGAGCUUGUACAGUACCUAGAUGGGUAACCGCUUUGGAAUAGCAAGUGCAGUG